GCUCCGGUGGCCUAAUUGGUUAGGUGUUCGCUUCAGAUGCGGGAGUUCGCGCGUUCGAAUCGUGACGGAGUCA